rnacentral:rRNA from 1 species
CACGUAGGGUGCGAGCGUUGUCCGGAAUUAUUGGGCGUAAAAGAGCUCGUAGGCGGUGUGUCGCGUCGGCCGUGAAAAACCUGCAGCUUAACUGUGGGCGUGCGGUCGAUACGGGGCAUCACUGGAGUUCGGCAGGGGAGACUGGAAUUCCUGGUGUAGCAGUGAAAAUGCGUAGAUAUCAGGAGGGAACACCGAUGGCGAAAGGCAGGUCUCUGGGCUGACACUGACGCUCAUGCACGAAAGCGUGGGGGAGCAAACAGG